UACGAAGGGGGCUAGCGUUGCUCGGAAUCACUGGGCGUAAAGCGCACGUAGGCGGAUUGUUAAGUCAGGGGUGAAAUCCUGGAGCUCAACUCCAGAACUGCCUUUGAUACUGGCGAUCUUGAGUCCGGGAGAGGUGAGUGGAACUGCGAGUGUAGAGGUGAAAUUCGUAGAUAUUGGGAAGAACACCGGUGGCGAAGGCGGCUCUCUGGACCGAUACUGACGCUGAGGCGCGAAAGCGUGGGGAGCAAACAGG
rnacentral:rRNA from 1 species